GAGUUUGAUCUUGGCUCAGAACGAACGCUGGCGGCAGGCUUAACACAUGCAAGUCGAACGAGCUGGGUCCUUCGGGGCCCGAUGCUAGUGGCGCACGGGUGAGUAACACGUGGGAAUAUGCCCUUUAGUACGGAAUAACCCAGGGAAACUUGGGCUAAUACCGUAUACGCCCUUCGGGGAAGAUUUAUCGCUAAAGGAUUAGCCCGCGUCUGAUUAGGUAGUUGGUGAGGUAAUGGCUCACCAAGCCGACGAUCAGUAGCUGGUCUGAGAGGAUGAUCAGCCACAUUGGGACUGAGACACGGCCCAAACUCCUACCGGGAGGCAGCAGUGGGGAAUAUUGGACAAUGGGGGUAACCCUGAUCCAGCCAUGCCGCGUGAGUGAUGAAGGCCCUAGGGUUGUAAAGCUCUUUUGUGCGGGAAGAUAAUGACGGUACCGCAAGAAUAAG
rnacentral:rRNA from 1 species